rnacentral:rRNA from 1 species
AAUAUUGGACAAUGGGCGAAAGCCUGAUCCAGCCAUGCCGCGUGUGUGAAGAAGGUCUUCGGAUUGUAAAGCUCUUUAAUUUGGGAAGAAAGGCAUUAACCUAAUACGUUAGUGUUUUGACGUUACCCACAGAAUAAGCACCGGCUAACUUUGUGCCAGCAGCCGCGGUAAUAA